rnacentral:rRNA from 1 species
UGAGGAACAUGACCUUCGGCGGGGGAGUAGCCGGCCCAACGGCCGGGUAAUACCGCGUACGACCACAUGGGGACAUCCCUGAGUGGUGAAAGCAGCAAUGCGCCGAUGGAGUGCCUCGCGGCCUAUCAGCUAGUUGGUGAGGUAACGGCUCACCAAGGCGACGACGGGUAGCUGGUCUGAGAGGAUGGCCAGCCACAUUGGGACUGAGACACGGCCCAGA